rnacentral:misc_RNA from 1 species
GAAGUGCUUGGGAGAUAUAGGAGUGGUAUGGUUAACUAAAUUGUUUAAUAAAAUUCUAAAUUCAAAGAAAAUGCCGGAUGAAUGGAGGAUGAGUAUUUUAGUACCCAUUUUUAAAAAUAAGGGAGACAUAUAGAGUUGCUCAAAUUAUAGGUGAAUUAAACUCAUGAGCCAUAUUAUGAAGUUGUGGAAGAGAUUUGUGGAACAUCGACUACGUCAUGGCACUUCUAUCUC